rnacentral:rRNA from 1 species
UCUGGUUGAUCCUGCCAGUAGUCAUAUGCUUGUCUCAAAGAUUAAGCCAUGCAUGUCUAAGUACAAACCUUAAUACGGUGAAACCGCGAAUGGCUCAUUAAAUCAGCUAUGGUUCCUUAGAUCGUCUCAUCCUACUCGGAUAACUGUGGAAAAUCUAGAGCUAAUACGUGCUUACAAGCCCUGACCUCACGGGAGGGGCGCAUUUAUUAGAUCAAAACCAAUCGGGGCUUGCCCCGUCUGCUUGGUGACUCUGGAUAACUUUUGUGCUGAUCGCAUGGCCUCUGCGCUGGCGACGUAUCUUUCAAGUGUCUGCCCUAUCAACUUACGAUGGUAGGUGAUAUGCCUACCAUGGUUAUAACGGGUAACGGGGAAUCAGGGUUCGAUUCCGGAGAGGGAGCCUGAGAAACGGCUACCACAUCUAAGGAAGGCAGCAGGCGCGCAAAUUACCCACUCCCGGCACGGGGAGGUAGUGACGAAAAAUAACGAUACGGGACUCUUUUGAGGCCCCGUAAUUGGAAUGAGUACACUUUAAAUCCGUUAACAAGUAUCUAUUGGAGGGCAAGUCUGGUGCCAGCAGCCGCGGUAAUUCCAGCUCCAAUAGCGUAUAUUAAUGUUGCUGCAGUUAAAAAGCUCGUAGUUGGAUCUGAGGACUCGAAUUGGUGGUGCACCAUACGGUGUUACUGCCGAUUCGGCCUACCUAGUCGGUGCUCGCUCUUGGUGUUCUUAAUUGAAUGCCCUGAGUGCCCGGCAAGUUUACUUUGAAAAAAUUAGAGUGCUCAAAGCAGGCCAUUAGCCGGAAUACUUCAGCAUGGAAUAAUGGAAUAGGACUUCGGUUCUAUUUUGUUGGUUUUCGGAACCCGAGGUAAUGAUUAAGAGAGACAGACGGGGGCAUUCGUACUGCGGUGUUAGAGGUGAAAUUCUUGGAUCGCCGCAAGACGAACAACUGCGAAAGCAUUUGCCAAGAAUGUUUUCAUUAAUCAAGAACGAAAGUCAGAGGUUCGAAGACGAUCAGAUACCGUCCUAGUUCUGACCAUAAACGAUGCCAACUGGCGAUCCGAGAUCGUUUGCUUAUUGACCUCUCGGGCAGCCUCCGGGAAACCAAAGUUUUUAGGUUCCGGGGGAAGUAUGGUUGCAAAGCUGGAAACUGUUCAAUUGCAACUCUGCCUGUGACACCAAGUGGUCGGGUUACUUGGUCUGUUCUGGCCCGGAGUCGGUAGGGUUUCCGGCCUUGUGCUCUUUCCUUACUGUUCUCUGUAACGCCGAAGGCGGGCUUCCACGGUGGGGAAGCGGUUGUACAAAUCCGGCAAAUCCAGCCAAAUGGGUUCCGGACUCUGUCCAACCUGCAACUGGUAACAGCCUCGGCUGGCUAACAUUUGAGCUGGGACUCGCUUGGAGGAGCGAGGAUAAUAUAAACCUCUAUGUGACUGAGGUGAGGAAUCUGGUUCUCGUAAAAUGGCUGGAGAUCCCGAGCCUGUAAGUCAUAAAUUAGUUCCCCACGAGGGGAGGUGUCGAAUUGAAGCCAGUGCGUGCCCUUACUAGUUUAAGGGAUUGUAUACUUCCUUUGGUGUACCCACCUGGAAGUGCCCAAGGGGUCCUAUCCCUGCACUCCAUCCCCGAUUGGAGUCAGGUGACGGCUCCUUA